rnacentral:lncRNA from 1 species
UUUAAAGAAAGGAAAACGAAACUGCUCCACCGCUUCUUCACUCGAAACAUAGCUUUCCCUCCGCCUUCACUUGACCAAAACUGUCCGCCGGCAAAACGUAGCUCUCUCUCCGCCGCUUCUCUUAACUCACAGCAGGUUUCACAGGUUCGAAAAGGAAAUCGCAGUUUCUGAUUUCUAUUCAGUUUCAAUAAAUUUCGAACUCCAUUUUCCAUUUCAAUUUCAACUUAGGGUUUCAAUCAAUUUCUCUAGUUAGGGUUUCCUUCUUCUUAUGAGUGACCUGAUUUGUCAGUGAAAAUAUUUUCAAAUGUAGCAUUCCGCGUGCAUUGUCUGUGCUUUUUGUAGGACUGGUUAGAUGAUUAAGUGCAUGUAGUGCUGGUUGAUUGUUAGAAGAUAGGAGUAACAACAAGCAAAAAUCAUUUGAGGUAAGCUUUCUGACUUAUUUUUGAGUUUUAUUGAGUGCACUUAAACUGUUUGAUAAAAGUUCUCUAUGGUUGGUUUUCCUUAUUAAUCUAGAAAUACAAGAGUUUUUCAGAUUUUUAACAAAGAAUCUAGAGACAUUGAGUUUUGUGACAUAGAAAUAUGAAUAUAGAAUUUGAUUGAAGGAGACGUUUUAUGAUAAAGUAGUACACAAAGUGGAUAAACAUUUGGACAUGAUCAUAUGAUAGGGUCGUUAAUUUAUUUCUGACAAAGUGGAUCCAGGAAUUUUAGUAAGUGUGGUCAAAAUUAUAACGUAAUAAAAUAUAAAUUGUUAUUUAUAUAAUUUUAACAUUUUCUUAUACAAAAUUACUUAUUUUGGUUUAUUAGUCAAUACUCUUAAGAUACUCAUUAGUAUUAUAAAUUAGUCUUAUUAAUUUUAUAUUUGUUAUAGUGCAAUAAAUUGACUAUAUAAAAACGAUAAUACCAAAUAUAUGGGGUCACAUUGCAUAAAUAAUACUAGUAUUAACUAAAAAUAUAAUAGGCAAGUGGGGUCAGGCAAGUGGGGUCGGCUGACCCCACUGCCCCCACACUAAAUCCGUCCCUGAGUCGACAUUCCGAAUAUAUGAUUUGUUUUUAGUUACAUUUUGAAUAUAUGAUUUAAUAAUUUAGCUCCAUCGUUCAUGCUUUUACUUUCCUAUGUUAAUUUGUGACUCUAAGGUUGUCCACUGUUGUUGUAGUGACCAAUCAUAUGUAUAUGACUUAGCACAUACUAUAUAAAUUGCGUUUUUUGACAAGACUUUGUAAAACAUUAUUUCUUCCAAGACCUUUUUAAUCCUAAGCGCCUUGAACUAUUAUGAUGUCAAUUGGUAAGGGCAUACAAUAAUUAGUAAGUGCAUAUAAUUGGUAAGUGCAUACAAUAAUUAGAAGCUGAUACAAUAAAAUUGAAGCAUAAUAUGAAAGUAACAUUUCUUGAGUUUGAUCAUGUGAAUGAUGUUUACUUAAAAUAUAUGUACCUCAGUAUAUAUGUGUAUUUGUCGGUUUGUUAAUGUUUAUUUUUGUAUUCCUUCACUUUGAUAUCUUAUUGAUUUUGAUAUCCUGCAUAUUGUGUUUUAAAAUGAUAACAGUAACAUAAUAGAUUCUUUGUGAGUCAAACUCAUGAUAAGAGUUAGAGUCUCUAUUAGUGUUUCAAUUUAGUCUUAUUUCUAUAUCUAGAAAACUCAGUCCCUAAAUUGUCAAUUAGUGUUCUCACUAAUUGCCUUGUUCUGUUCCGAAUUCUGUACUUUAUAGUGUUAGGCUUAGUUUCAACGUUUUAACAGUUUUAGAUCUGUUAUAUAUUUUUGUAUCAGAAUGUAUGAAGUCUAAUUUUAUGAAUUAUCAUUGCAAACUUGUUCAGCUAUCAUGAAUAUUGAUAAGUCUUGGAUUUUAAUUGCAUUGAUGAUGAGUAUGUGGAAUUGGCUACAAACCAUAUCGUUGGUGACUUUGAAACAAAUGCGCACAUGUCUGAGUAGAUUAGUAUAGUUUAUUUUGUUAUUUAGUUAAAGGUAAACAGUUUUAAUGUAGUUAAAGCUGUGGUUAUUUUGUUUUGAAGUUGUUAAUUUUAUUCAUUUUGUAUUACCUCAUGUAUGAAGUCUCAACCUCUCCAAUUCAGAAGGAUAUGUGAGUAUACGGCAGGGAGAAAAACUUCUCUUUAGGGUUAUAGUGUAAUCGUCGCAACUCCCAAUUCCGUCUCAACCUCACCAAACCGUCACCAACGAGUAUUGAAUUGUGUGAACGUGAACCUGUAGCCAUGAAAUCCCGAUGGAACUUCUAAGGUAUGAUUAUGUAAUUAAUAAACAGUAAUCUCAAAUCCUUCUCUUUCGUUGGUAGAUCUGAGAUUCUUACUCGGAACAAAUUUUUAGGGUUUUUUACUUCUGAGAAGUAGAAGCCGCUAGUUAUUCACACUUUCAAAGGUAACCUGCUACUCUCUCUCACUAACCAAUACAAUUUUCAUCGGAACAAAUUUUUAGGGUUUUUGAUUUACUGUUACUUAUUAUAUUAGAUCUAUUUGGUCGAAUGGUUCAGAUUGAGACGUGGACAAAGAAUGUUGGGAUCGCCUCUGUUGAAGCUUGAACUUCGACUAACACAUGAGUUGAGGUAAUUACUUGAAAUAUUUCGAUGUUGCGCGUUUGGUUAUGAAAUUUUGAUUGAUUUGAUUUUGUAGUAAAAUGUUGGUAAUCAGUGAGAUUAGAAGAAUCAGAUUUAAGUGGCAGUUAAAACCCCAGCUAGAUUUCACUGUCGCAAAACAUUUCGGGGAGGUUAAAAAUCCCCGUAAACUGGCUUUAAAACCCCCUCUAAAUAGCGCAUUUUUUAUAGUGGUCUAUGUUUAAAUCCAUACUUAAUCUCCACACUUUUUUCCUUCAUCAACGUUUUAAACCAUUGAAUUUUCCUUAAUAAGGUUUUUAAUAAGAGUGUUUCUUACACCUUUAGUCUUGGUCUACUCCCUUACGUUUAUUUUAUGUUUCAAUUUGGUCCCUUACGUUUUUACCGUUUGUAAUUGUGUAAGUUAGUCCUUUCUGUCAGUUUUGUCACAUGUGGCAACUAGUUUGCAUAUGUGGACAGACACGUGGACACUUGGACACACUGACACGUGUAUAGUUCAAAUGGUGUUAGUGACAAAAUUAACGGAAAAGACUAAAUUGAAACCUAAUUGAAACAUAAGGGACCAAAUUGAUACUUUUUAAACGUAAGAGACCAAAUUGAAACCUAUAAAAUAAACGUAAGAGACCAACGUAAGAAACCUAUAAAUAAAAACUACUAAAUUUCAUUGAUGAAUUAUCUGAUACAAGGUAAAAUAAACUAACACAAACAUCAAAGACAUCCAUCCAUUUGCUAAUAUAACAAGCACCACUAGAAAAUAACAUAAUCUCACACCAUAACAUUAUUUAACUAGGACAGUUAAACACUUGCAAAAAGGUUGAAGGAAAAAAUACACCAAUCUUAAUAUAUUUCACAUAACUUAUAAUGCUCAUAUCAAAUGAUUCUUUUACUAACUUUGACAUUCAAGCCAUGUUUCAUGCGAAGAAGAAUAGAAAUCCUUGGAGUUACAGAAUGACCGUCCACAACUUGUAGG